rnacentral:rRNA from 1 species
GACGAACGCUGGCGGCGUGCCUAAUACAUGCAAGUAGGACGCAGUUGCGAACGGGUGAGUAACGCGUAGGUAACUGCCUAUUAGAGGGGGAUAACUAUUGGAAACGAUAGCUAAUACCGCAUACUAGUAGAUGGACCUGCGUUGUAUUAGCAAGUAGGUAGGGUAAUGGGCUACCUAGGCGACGAUACAUAGUCGACCUGAGCAGGUGAGCCGCCACACAGGGACGGAGACACGGCCCAGGCUCCUCCGGGAGGCAGCAGUAGGGAAUCUGCGGCAAUGGGGGGAAGCCUGACCGAGCAACGCCGCGUGAGUGAAUAAGGUUUUCGGAUCGUAAAGCUCUGUUGUUAAGGAAGCGGUACUUAACCAGAAAGGGACGGCUAACUACGUGCCAGCCGCCGCGGUAAUUC